GUGAUUCUCAAAAAGUAGGAAUAAAUAUAUGGUUGUAAAGUCUGAUGCUUGAUGAAGAGAUUCAGGCAUUGUUUUGUUUUGUUGUAAGUGAGAGUAAACCAGUAUAAUUUCAACACUUUUAAACCCUUUUGUUUACUGAUCUAAACUGAAGUCUAAUCUAAAUACAGUAAUAAGUAACGAAGCCGCAGAAACUCAGAUCUGUAUUCCAGGACAUCAGAUAAACGUUAUAUAAGAUCAGACGCUUUCAUGGUGUAGCUGCUGAAGUGUGUGGUCUGUGUGUUUCAGGGACAGCGGGGAUGACAUCGAGCUGGCGUCGUGUGCUCACAGCCAGCCGCACAGAGACGUCUCGCUGGUGUCUUCCUGUAGCUGUGAGCUGCUGUGUGACGGUUCACACCGGGGGUCCGAGCGGCUGUGCUCUGCUGCUGCUGAUCAGUCGGCUGCGGCCCGCUGUCAGGAGCCCCCCGUCACCCAGCACCCCUCACAUGUCCCGCUAGAGCGCUUCCUGCAGUCGCCAGAGGCCCAGAACACUAACACAGCAUCAGGUACAUCCGCUUCACUGACCCGAGAACAGAACGAUGACGGUUGUGUUUGUGUGCGUCAGUCUUUGAGUCAGUGAAUUCAGUUGGAUUCUUAUAGAUUUAGAAAGAUACCAUUUUAUUGAAUUGACUGAACAGUGAUUUGAUUCGGUGAUUCGCUUUUAUAAAAUUCUUUAAACGCUUCCCUUAAUGUAUGUUAGACAGGAAAAGAGCAACGACUUCACACUGUUUACUGCACCAAAAGAACCCCGAAAGAAAACACACAACCUAGUACACAGCAAAAAAUCCAGAGUGAAAUUAACUCUGCUGGGAGUACAUGUGAGACCACACUCAAGAGUGUGAAAGUGUUAAAAUAGGAGUGUUAAAUUAACACUGAAUCAGAGUUAAAGUUAAUGAGAUAAUUAAGUGAUUAACUGAGUGAUGAUUGACCAUUAUUGACGAAACCUGAUGUUAACGAGCAGAAUCAACAAAGACAAAAAUCACAUUUUUUUAUGUCACCAUUAUAGUGGUCAGUGUUUGCUUUAGUUGGGCUCUUGACCCUUAAUAUUUUAAAGUCAGAUUUUGUUUGGUUGUUGUAAUGGAGUUAUAAAACAGAUGGGCAAACAAAAAAUAUUGGUUUUCCUGAAUCACUGAGUUAAACUUUCAUUGUUGAUUAUUGCGGCCGAAUGAUUCUUCAGCAUAGGAUUGCCGGCAUUUUAAAUACAAUCUGUGGAAUUUCUUAAAAGUUGUUUGUUCAAAAAAGCAAUCAAAAAAAGCAUGUUGCAGGAGCCAUGGGAUGAAUUUUGGGCCAUUCAUCAUGGGAGCCAUGGAUGAAUUUUGAUAGGUGGCACCCAGAAUGCACUGCAACACAAGUCUCCUGCAACAUGCUUUUUUGAUUGUCACCGUCGUUGAGGUUCACAGGUUGAUUCUUGAUGUUUGCAUGUCUAGAUGAAAGACUCUUUUAAAAGAUUUUUGAACA
ensembl:lncRNA